rnacentral:rRNA from 1 species
GAUGAACGCUAGCGGGAGGCCUAACACAUGCAAGCCGAGCGGUAUUGUUUCUUCGGAAAUGAGAGAGCGGCGUACGGGUGCGUAACACGUGUGCAACCUGCCUUUAUCCGGGGGAUAGCCUUUCGAAAGGAAGAUUAAUACUCCAUAAUAUAUUGAACGGCAUCGUUUAAUAUUGAAAGCUCCGGCGGAUAGAGAUGGGCACGCGCAAGAUUAGCUAGUUGGUGAGGUAACGGCUCACCAAGGCGAUGAUCUUUAGGGGGCCUGAGAGGGUGAUCCCCCACACUGGUACUGAGACACGGACCAGACUCCUACGGGAGGCAGCAGUGAGGAAUAUUGGUCAAUGGGUGCAAGCCUGAACCAGCCAUCCCGCGUGAAGGACGACUGCCCUAUGGGUUGUAAACUUCUUUUGUAUAGGGAUAAACCUACCCUCGAGAGGGUAGCUGAAGGUACUAUACGAAUAAGCACCGGCUAACUCCGUG